AUUGAACGCUGGCGGCAUGCCUUACACAUGCAAGUCGAACGGUAACAGGGAGCUUGCUCCGCUGACGAGUGGCGAACGGGUGAGUAAUGUAUCGGAACGUACCUUUCAGUGGGGGAUAACGUAGCGAAAGUUACGCUAAUACCGCAUAUUCUGUGCGCAGGAAAGCAGGGGAUCGCAAGACCUUGCGCUGAUUGAGCGGCCGAUAUCAGAUUAGCUAGUUGGUGGGGUAAAAGCUCACCAAGGCGACGAUCUGUAGCGGGUCUGAGAGGAUGAUCCGCCACACUGGAACUGAGACACGGUCCAG
rnacentral:rRNA from 1 species